GAUGAACGCUGGCGGCGUGCUUAACACAUGCAAGUCGAACGAAGCACUUUACUACGAUUUCUUCGGAAUGACGGUUUUGUGACUGAGUGGCGAACGGGUGAGUAACGCGUAGGCAACCUGCCCUUUAGUUGGGGACAACAUCCCGAAAGGGGUGCUAAUACCGAAUGCGUUCUUUUUGUCGCAUGGCAGAGAGAAGAAAGGGAGGCUCUUCGGAGCUUUCGCUGAAGGAGGGGCUUGCGUCUGAUUAGCUAGUUGGAGGGGUAACGGCCCACCAAGGCGACGAUCAGUAGCCGGUCUGAGAGGAUGAACGGCCACAUUGGGACUGAGACACGGCCCAGACUCCUACGGAGGCAGCAGUGGGGAAUCUUCCGCAAUGGGCGCAAGCCUGACGGAGCGAACGCCGCGUGAGUGAAGAAGGUUUUCGGAUCGUAAAGCUCUGUUGAGAGGGACGAGAGGCAAGGCUAGGAAAUGAGCUUUGUAGGAC
rnacentral:rRNA from 1 species